rnacentral:rRNA from 1 species
GGACGGGUGAGUAACGCGUGGGUAACCUACCCCAAAGUCCGGGAUAACAGCGGGAAACCGCUGCUAAUACCGGAUGCCUUUACCUUGGGGCAUCUUGAGGUAAAGAAAGGUAACGCUUUGGGAUGGGCCCGCGUCCCAUUAGCUAGUUGGUGAGGUAGCGGCUCACCAAGGCGACGAUGGGUAGCCGGCCUGAGAGGGUGGACGGCCACACUGGGACUGAGACACGGCCCAGACUCCUACGGGAGGCAGCAGUAGGGAAUAUUGCGCAAUGGACGGAAGUCUGACGCAGCGACGCCGCGUGAGCGAUGAAGGUCUUCGGAUCGUAAAGCUCUGUCCUUGGGGAAGAAGGUCUUCGGACUUGACGGUACCCAAGAAGAAAGCCCCGGCUAACUACGUGCCAGCAGCCGCGGUAAUACGUAGGGGGCGAGCGUUGUCCGGAAUUACUGGGCGUAAAG